GUCUUGAGAUCAAAGCUGGCUGAUAAUGUUGCUUUGUUUUUUUUUCCCUCCUCUCUUCUGCUUUGCAUUUUUCUUCUCUACCAGCCACUUUCCACCAAGUCAAAAGUGCAACUUCUUUUUAAAGAGCUAUUAGGGUGCAGUUUGCCGUGAUUUCUGAGCUGGAGCGCCUCAGCUGGGACAGUGAGAUCUACCGUGGAGAAUCCACAUCCAUUCCUGACGUCUGGAGCCUCACUAGGGCCAGAACAGACAUGUGGUACCUUAAACUUACAUCAAACUCUGCUUCAGAUGGGAAGCCGCAUUCUGGUCUUGCCUGAUCAUUGAUAAGGGCCUGCACAGAGACCUGGACCAGCUCAAAAGGUUGAUAACUGACUUAAUAUAAGCACAAGAAUAACUACGCAUUUAUGUAAAAUCUUUCUCAAAGGAGCGUUCAGCACUCUGCAGAUAAUGGACUUAUUUAUCCUUAGAGCACUUCUCUGAGGCAGUUAAAGGACAGGGGUGACCAGACUCAUGUAAUAAAUAAUGUCAAGGACAGCAUGAGGCAAAACUAGCCUAUACGUCUGAGGCCUUGGGGGAGAUGGGAUGGGCCCAAGGUCACCCAGGGAGUUGGGAACAGGAUGAGUGUCCAUGCUCCAAUGAGGUGAUUCAUUCUUUCCAGCACCUCUGCUCCUGGGACCUGACUACAUGUCCCCCGGGCUGGCUCCUGCUUACACACACAUAUCCCAAGGCAUAUUCUAUGGGAUAUCAGAGGUGCUCUUAUCAGUGCAUGGCUUAGUAAGCUCCAAAAAUAUUUGGUUUCACAGAGUCAAACAGUUUUCUUCACUAGAGGACUUUGUAGACGCAUUAACAAGUUACUUUGUUCAUUGCUAAUAUCCAGGAGGGAUCUCCAAUAUGCGGAGUUACCCAAAUUUAUUUGUCCAUGGACAUUUCCUUCCCCAGAAUCUCAUUGGAUUGGUGAAAUGUUGAUUUCUUAAGACGUGGUACCGGGACUUCCCUAGUGGAAGGAGAUACCUGGGUUUAGAGAAGAUGUUGGCAAGCCAGGCAGGGAUGUGGGUGACUUUGUAAGUCUGGCUGUUACUGGAUGCUAAGACAGCAAGAGGGAAAACUACCCUGUAUGAGACAAAGGGAGGAAUGAACUGUUUUUGUUCCCGGGAGGGAGGAAGAAAGAGAAGAGGAGAAGAGAGAGAAUGGGUAAAAUAAAGAAGCCAGGGCCUGGGUGGGAUCAACAUUCAGUGAAACUGCAGGUUGGUGGGGGAACAAAGGACAUUUUAUACGGAUGCUUACUGCCUCAUGUGGAACCGUCAGAGGUACAGUGUAAACCUCUCUCCAUUAUCUUCUCCUCCUCUUUAUAGGGCAGUCUAUUAGGGUCAUGUGCGCUUUGUAGAGUGGUGUGUGUGUGUGUGUGUGUGUGUGUGUGUGUGAAGGGAUUGAGAAAGAGCUUCAUUCCAUCCUUGAACUUUUGUGGACGGCAAAUAGUAUUAACAGACACAGGAGCCUAGAGGCAGAGAUGACCAUGAGAGGUAAGCCUUCCGGUGUCCACAUAACACUUUAAGAGGGGUGGGCACUUGGGCCUUGAGCUAAACUCCCUCGGAUCUCAAUUGCGGCAACGGAUGUGGUGUAGAUCAGCUGACUUCUAAUGCUGUCCUCUGCCCUGUCACCCUCGGGGCCUGACUACCCUCUCCAUUUGUACCAUAGUAGCUCGGGCAUCUGGAGCCACGCGGAACACAUGUCUUCAGACAGUGAUUCCAUUUCCCUUCAACAGUCUGUUCUCCAGAUUGAACAUACUUAAUUCCUUCCACAUGUCUCGUAUGACGAGUUACCAGACUUGUCACCAUGCCGGUCACCCUUGUCUGGACAGCCUCCAGGGUUUCAACGUGCCUCUUGGGAUUUAACACAACACAACAAGUGUGGUCUGCACAUUGCCAAAUACAGCAGGGUCUCUGCUUUCUGCGAUCUGGACCUUCUGCUUCUACUGAGGAAGCCUACGUCGGACCCAGCCUUGUUUUUAUUCAGCGGCCACGUCGGGUUCUUGGCUCCACUAAACUUGCAGUCAACUAAAA